rnacentral:rRNA from 1 species
CCCUACGGGGGGCAGCAGUGGGGAAUAUUGCACAAUGGGGGAAACCCUGACCGAGCAAUGCCGCGUGUGAGAUGACGGCCCUAUGGGUUGUAAAUCACUUUUAUUUGGGAAGAAUUGUAAGCAUAGGAAAUGAUGUUUACUUGACGGUACCUUUUGAAUAAGCCCCGGCUAACUACGUGCCAGCAGCCGCGGUAAUACGUAGGUGGCAAGCGUUAUCCGGAUUUAUUGGGUGUAAAGGGCGUGUAGGCGGGAGCGCAAGUCAGAUGUGAAAACUCAGGGCUCAACCCUGAGCCUGCAUUUGAAAC